AUAGCUUCAGUUUCAUAUCUGUUGAAGCUAUGUCAUUACAUAUUACAUCUAUUUUGAAAAGUACUAAUAAAGUGAAAUAAAUCUGUCAUAGAAAGACAGACUUCGGAAAUUAGGAAUGUAAUGCCCAGAAACAAAUUAGUCAAAUGUUCUUCGUAUUGGCAACAGGGCCAAUAUAUAAUUUAAUUUGACAUUGUCAUUUCCAAGACACCUUCAUUUCUUAGGCCAGCCCAGUAGGACUCCUGUCCCCAAACAAGUUAUGUCCAAUACAAUAUAUAAAAGCCCUGUUUAACAGACCAGGGACAUAGUAAGAGCAGCUACUGUUACUUAAAGAUUUAACCAACCCGCCCCAUAUGUUGCUCUUGGCCUGCUUAAUUCAAUAGCUCACAAAUUAGUGAUAUCAUAAGCACUCACCUAAAUUAAACACUUGUCACAAAGAAGUAAAAAACAUUUCUUGUCACUCUACAUUCUUUAGCCUGAACUAGUCUCUACCAUAAAUAGUCGUCCUGAUCCUUCUUUGUGACAAAAUAAUUAGCCGAAAAGCUUGCAGUAGUGUUUACACACCUGUACAUCUCUGUUUUAGUUUGGUAAGGUAAUAUGAUUGUAAUACUUUUUUAUUCUCAGUUAGGUAGAGUAUGCAGACGAGCUUUUAAAAAUUCCUUCAAACUGUAGUAAUCACAAAAUCCAUCUGCUUAUCACAGAUUUAUAUAAAGGUAAUUAAGUUGUUGGUACACCAUUCACAUUGAUGUGCAGAAUGACUAGUAAAUGAAUUGGCAAUUAAUUUGUUACAAUCUGGGAAGGAAAAACUUGACAACAUAAAUCAUAAAGAAAUGUAUUACUAAUUAUAUAGAAAGCACAUUUCAACAUUUAACCGAGGCAGUAAAUGCAGGGUUUAUUAUGGUGUUUAAAUCAAUAUUCCAAAAGGUGAGUUAUCUCUUGCAGAUGUAACCCCUUAAGGCAGGGGUUCUCAACGUUAGUCCUCAGGACCCCCUACCAGUCCAGGGUUUAGGGAUUACCUGGGUGUGUCUAAGGUGUUUAGAAAAAGAAAAAAAAACACCUUAGAGUCUAAGGUGUUUUUUUCCCUUUUUCUAAACACCUGAGACACACCCAGUUAAUCCCCAAAUCCUGGACUGAAGGGGGACUGGGUUGAGAACCCCUGCCUUAAGGACACAUGACAUGUCUUUAAGGGGUUAAAGGUUUCAUCUAAGGCCUAUAACCACUUUAGCUUGCUAAAGGAGUUGUGGUGAAAUGACCCAGCAUAUGCAGUAUUUCAAGUUGAAACACUUGCAAAUACAAUACAUAAGAAUUUUUUUAACUGGGUGUAACUCCACCUCUAGCUUCUGUCAAUCACUCAACUGGAACCUGUUUUAAGGAUGACUAUAUAUAUUUCAUCCAAGUUUUACAUUCAGCAUCUACAUGCCACAGACAUGCAUAAUUUGGACUGAGCUCACUUUUUUCCCAGGAAAGAGGGCUGAGACGUGGACAGAAAUGUCUACUGAGAGAUCAACAUAGCCCAGUUCACUAAACAGAAAACCAGGCUAUGGGUAAACUGAUUGCAACUUUGCUAUGAUCCUCUAGAAAUCGGUUUAUUAACAGGAUUGUACAAAGAACAAGAAGUCACCUAUUGAGACUUAAGGAAAACAAAUUUCACAUAGAACCAAUAAAAGGAGUGUGAUUGUCACAUAGUAAUCGAAAAGGAAUGCUUUCCCUUUUUUGGGGUACAACUGGAAAUCAAUUGAAGUUGAUUUUUUGUUUUUCAUUAGGAUCAGAAACAGCAAUGAAUGAAUGGAGGUAAAAGGUUGAACUUGGUGACCAUUAUGAGUCUCUUUUUUUUUUUGCAAUCUUUAUUGCUAUGUUAAUACAUAGGUCACCAGAGAAUUAUGUUGAGUGUUUGUAUUUCUGUAGUUUUAAAAUAAUCUCUACAUGAUUGUUAUACCUUUUUCCAAGUGGAAAAAUACGUGUUGUGCCUUCAUCAUCAUUUAUAUGGUCUAUAUAUACCUUCAUAUAAAAUUGCUGGAAAAACAAAACUGCUUAGUAAGGCUGAUUGUACACACUACUCAUCUUAAUUUUUUAAUAGUGCUCAGUCAUGAACAUCGAUAAAUAUCAUAUUUUUUGAACAUUUUAUUUGAACACUUAAGUUACAAUAGAGGCUGCAGGAGCUGCUAUCACCUUCACCCAUCAAUCAAUAUUGACUCCCUCUAUUGUCCACCUUUAAAAUGUAAAUUCAUCUGACUAUUUUGAAUGUGUUUUCUUUCCUCUACAUUUCCCUUUAGAAAUAUAUGAGACAAUACUAUAUUGUUGUUGGGUCAGUGCAUAUUUCAAGAAUAAGCCCUAUUAUAAUACAUGUAAUAUACCAUAAUGCUUUAGUCUAUUAAUUAAUUCAACUAUUUCAGUGGUCAUAUUAAACAUACUUUCUUAUUAAACCUGCACCUAUCCAUUUUCUAUGUCUUGGUGUAGAGAGCUCGUGCAAUGUUUAUUUACAAAUAUUUCUAUUACAUUUUCAGUCUUCAUUAACAAACUUGCUGUGAAAGUAACUUUGUUUGGUGUUAAUAUGUAAAUGGUUGAUAUCAAAGUAAAGCAUUAAGCCAGAAGGUCAUAACUGGUUAAAUAGUCAUUAUGUUUGCAGGUGAUGGUAGAUCUAGA